CCUACCAGAGGAACCGCAUGCGGUUUGCUCAGAGGAACCUUCGCAGAGACAAGGAUCGCAGGAAUCUCACUCAGUUCAACAUGCAGACGCUCCCGAAGAGCGCCAAGCAGAAAGAGAGGGACCGUAUGCGCCUGCAGAAGAAGUUCCAGAAGCAGUUUGGCGUCCGUCAGAAGUGGGAUCAAAAGUCUCAGGUAGUUAUUUUACUGAAGCUAAAGAAACA